rnacentral:lncRNA from 1 species
AUGGGCGCCCGCCCACCGGAGGAGCGACUGGAGUUGAUCGGCUGGGCGCUCAGCUGGGAUCCUUGAUGGACAGUGCCUAAGCAUGGAGGCAACUGCAGGUUUCUGGCCAGGGCCACUCUCUGGUGAAACUAAAAGGUCCAUGUGGAAGCACCUGACUGCCACCACCUGGUUCAGGAUCAAGUCUGUGAUACCUGAAGCCUCAGACCUGGAACCUGAAGUUUCCUUCAGCCACUACACCUGUGAACCUGUGGAAGACCUGAAGUGCCUGUUUAGAAGACAGCCAAAAGAUAAAGACCAUUGAGCUUCAUAUGAUCAUGCAACAACAUUGCCAGCCAGUUCCAAAUGAAGAUAGCACCCCCAGCGAUCAAUAAACUACCCUGCCUCCACUGGAUAGAGCAGGGAAAAAUUUCCAUGAUCAGCAAUAGAAAUUACAAUUUGGGGACAGGAGGAGAGAUACAGGUGGGAAGUCACAGGAACUAAAGUCAAACUAAAGGAAAAUCUGUGGCGAGAAGGUCCAUGAAGUUCUACUGCUAAGGUCCCUGAAGUUGAUCUGGUUCCUCCCGCUUCUGGACUUUUCCUUGGACUCCAUGAGAUAAUCUAAUGUUCUUUCAAUAGAUAUUUAAUGGAGACUGUGGAAAAGAUGGCCAAUGAGAUGCAGCCAGCAGGUGUCACUCCCACCAAGAGAGACCAAAUUAUUGAGUAAACCAACAUAAUUUGGGCAGCUCUUAAGAGAGAAAAUGCCAAGAGUGGAUGGAGAGAUGAUGCUGAAGCUGUAGCUGAAGAAAGAGGAAGCUGGGAACCCUGCAUGGGGCACCUGAAUGCGAGGGCUAACUCCCAGCCUUGAAUGGCUCCUGGGAAAGUGUUUCACUCUUGUUGCCCAGGCUGGAGUGCAAUGGUGUGAUUUCAGCUUACUGAAACCUCCACCUCCUAGGUUCAAGAGAUUCUCCUGCCUCAGCUUCCCGAGUAGCUGGAAUUACAGCUUCAGAUCCAAAUGGUAUGCUAGCAUUCUCUUCCUAGCAGUCCACUGUCAAGACUUCACUGUUAGAAGAAGAAUCACACCAGAAUUAAGGUCAAAUGGAUUAUCUUAUUCUUAAUUGCUGAAAAUCACACCUCAUUGAAAUUUGCUUCAUAACUGAACCAUGAAUUUUUCAUCAAACAUACUUUUGUGUUUCUCCUCCUGGCAUUCUUUAUGAGGAACUUCUUUUUGGAGCUCACUGACUUCCUGUUCUAAUUUGGUCCAGUUAUUUUCUAGAAUUGCUACAUGACUGUCAUCCUGGGACAUCCUUCUGUUGGAAUCUGGGAGAGCUUACAACUUUUCAUAUCCUCUCUUCUUCUUUGUGUUUUUCACCCUGAAGUGUACAAAGUCAAAUGAAUUUCCUAGAAAAACUAGUGAGUUAAUAUUUUGAGUCCUUGUGAUAUGGGAGGGGGGCAGGGAAGUGCUGGGUAGAGAAGGGUGGGGUCCCUGGUGAGGGCUCCACUCUCAGGCCUGUGCUCAUGGACCUAAAUGAGGACAGGCAUUUCUGUUUUCAUGCCCCAAAUGUUGCCUUUUGGCCCACCAUGCGCCCCAUCCUGUACCCAUAAAAACCCAAGACUUGAGAAGGCACAGACACAAGUGGCGGGACGUCAAGAGAGCUGAAGAACACAGCAACAGACACCAGCAGACAACAUCAGGCCAUCGAUGGCUGCAUGAUGUGGAAUUUGGCUGGGGGCAGUUGGAGGAGAGUCUGGCUAUUGGGCGACCUGACUCCAGGGGAAGACUACCUUCCCACUCCAUCCCCCUUGGGGCUCCUCAUGCAUCUCACGAGAGCUACCUCCACCACUCAAUAAAACCUUGCACGCAUCCUCCAA